rnacentral:rRNA from 2 species
UGCACCUGAUUGAUUUUGGUCGCCAACGAGUGGCGGACGGGUGAGUAACACGUAGGUAACCUGCCCAGAAGCGGGGGACAACAUUUGGAAACAGAUGCUAAUACCGCAUAACAACGUUGUUCGCAUGAACAACGCUUAAAAGAUGGCUUCUCGCUAUCACUUCUGGAUGGACCUGCGGUGCAUUAGCUUGUUGGUGGGGUAACGGCCUACCAAGGCGAUGAUGCAUAGCCGAGUUGAGAGACUGAUCGGCCACAAUGGGACUGAGACACGGCCCAUACUCCUACGGGAGGCAGCAGUAGGGAAUCUUCCACAAUGGGCGCAAGCCUGAUGGAGCAACACCGCGUGAGUGAAGAAGGGUUUCGGCUCGUAAAGCUCUGUUGUUAAAGAAGAACACGUAUGAGAGUAACUGUUCAUACGUUGACGGUAUUUAACCAGAAAGUCACGGCUAACUACGUGCCAGCAGCCGCGGUAAUACGUAGGUGGCAAGCGUUAUCCGGAUUUAUUGGGCGUAAAGAGAGUGCAGGCGGUUUUCUAAGUCUGAUGUGAAAGCCUUCGGCUUAACCGGAGAAGUGCAUCGGAAACUGGAUAACUUGAGUGCAGAAGAGGGUAGUGGAACUCCAUGUGUAGCGGUGGAAUGCGUAGAUAUAUGGAAGAACACCAGUGGCGAAGGCGGCUACCUGGUCUGCAACUGACGCUGAGACUCGAAAGCAUGGGUAGCGAACAGGAUUAGAUACCCUGGUAGUCCAUGCCGUAAACGAUGAGUGCUAGGUGUUGGAGGGUUUCCGCCCUUCAGUGCCGGAGCUAACGCAUUAAGCACUCCGCCUGGGGAGUACGACCGCAAGGUGAAACUCAAAGGAAUUGAC